rnacentral:rRNA from 1 species
UACAGAGACCUCAAGCGUUAUCCGGAAUCAUUGGGCGUAAAGCGUACCGAUAGGUGGUUUUACAAGUCAGCAGUGAAAUCUCUCAGCUUAACUGGGAGACUGUCUUUUGAAACUGUAAAACUAGAAGGGCAAAGAGGAAGCUGGAACAAGCGGUGUAGUAGUGAAAUGCGUUGAUAUCGCUUGGAACACCAAUAGCGUAGGCAGGCUUCUGGGUGCCACUUGACACUGCUAGGACGAAAGCGUGGGGAGCGAAUGGG